rnacentral:rRNA from 1 species
UUCCGGUUGAUCCUGCCGGACCCGACUGCUAUUUGGGUGAGAAUAAGCCAUGCGAGUUGAAUGGGAUACCUAAAGUUCCCAUAGCAAACUGCUCAGUAACACAUGAUCAACUUACCCUAUAGAGAAAAAUAACCUCGGGAAACUGAGGAUAAUGUUUCACAAUUGAAUUGGCUUGGAAAAGUUUUUCAAUGAAAAGGAUAAAAAAAAUGGUUUUUAUCUGCUAUAGGAUAGGAUCGUGUUCGAUUAUGGUUGUUGGUGAGAUAAUGGCUCACCAAGCCGAUAAUCGAUAGGGGCCGUGAGAGCGGGAGCCCCGAGAUGGGUACUGAGACAACGACCCAGGCCUUACGAGGCGCAGCAGGCGCGGAACCUCCGCAAUACACGAAAGUGUGACGGGGUUACCCAAAGUGUUCAAUAGAACUGUGGUAGGUGAGUAAUGUCCCCUACUAGAAAGGAGAGGGCAAGGCUGGUGCCAGCCGCCGCGGUAAAACCAGCUCUUCAAGUGGUCGGGAUAAUUAUUGGGCUUAAAGUGUCCGUAGCCGGUUUAGUAAGUUCCUGGUAAAAUCGGGUAGCUUAACUAUCUGCAUGCUAGGAAUACUGCUAUACUAGAGGGCGGGAGAGGUCUGAGGUACUACAGGGGUAGGGGUGAAAUCUUAUAAUCCUUGUAGGACCACCAGUGGCGAAGGCGUCAGACUGGAACGCGCCUGACGGUGAGGGACGAAAGCCAGGGGAGCGAACCGGAUUAGAUACCCGGGUAGUCCUGGCCGUAAACGAUGCAUACUAGGUGAUGGUACGGCCAUGAGCCGUAUCAGUGCCGUAGGGAAACCGUUAAGUGUGCCGCCUGGGAAGUACGGUCGCAAGGCUAAAACUUAAAGGAAUUGGCGGGGGAGCACCACAAGGGUGAAGCCUGCGGUUCAAUUGGAUUCAACGCCCGGAAAUCACUAGUGCGGCCG